rnacentral:rRNA from 1 species
UACGUAGGGACCAAGCGUUGUUCGGAUUUACUGGGCGUAAAGGGCGCGUAGGCGGCGUGGUAAGUCACUUGUGAAAUCUCUGAGCUUAACUCAGAACGGCCAAGUGAUACUGCUGUGCUAGAGUGCAGAAGGGGCAACUGGAAUUCUCGGUGUAGCGGUGAAAUGCGUAGAUAUCGAGAGGAACACCUGCGGCGAAGGCGGGUUGCUGGGCUGACACUGACGCUGAUGCGCGAAAGCUAGGGGAGCGAACGGG